rnacentral:tRNA from 1 species
AUUUAUUUAGUAUAAAUUUUGUACAUUUGACUUCCAAUCAAAAAGUCCUGAUUAGGAAUAAAUA